AUGCAGCGGUCCCUUUCGCCCAUUUUGCCAAGGCCGGAAAGUCGAGCUCCAGCCACCAAGGGUGGCAAACCAGCGAAGAAAAGGAAACUGGACGUGGCACCGGCGCGGAGGAGUGCAAGGAUUGCGAAGCAUGCGACCACCAAACAGCAACAAGUCCUCAUUCGUAAGUUGUGUCUCGCGCAUGAGGGGGAGGUGAUCUCUGAGGAAGCCCUUCGGAUGUACGUCGACUUAUUCUCCCGCCCCCUCUCGGACGCACACAUUGGCGCCGUGUUGGCGUUGUUUGGUUGGGAGUCGCCGGCUAUGCCGCUCAUGGAGGAGGCACCGGAUGCUGCGGCGUAG
rnacentral:rRNA from 1 species